rnacentral:rRNA from 1 species
CGUGCCUUUAAACAUGCAAGUCGAGCGGUAAGGCCCUUCGGGGUACACGAGCGGCGAACGGGUGAGUAAAGGGGGCAACCUGCCCUGCACUCUGGGAUAACCUCGGGAAACGGGGCUAAUACCGGAUACGACCUUCCCCCGCAUGGGGGUGGGUGGAAAGUUCCGGCGGUGCAGGAUGGGCCCGCGGCCUAUCAGCUUGUUGGUGGGGUAAUGGCCUACCAAGGCGACGACGGGUAGCCGGCCUGAGAGGGCGACCGGCCACACUGGGACUGAGAUACGGCCCAGACUCCUACGGGAGGCAGCAGUGGGGAAUAUUGCGCAAUGGGCGAAAGCCUGACGCAGCGACGCCGCGUGAGGGAUGACGGCCUUCGGGUUGUAAACCUCUUUCAGCGCCGAAGAAGCGAAAGUGACGGUAGGCGCAGAAGAAGCACCGGCUAACUACGUGCCAGCAGCCGCGGUAAUACGUAGGGUGCGAGCGUUGUCCGGAAUUAUUGGGCGUAAAGAGCUCGUAGGCGGUUUGUCGCGUCGACUGUGAAAACCUACAGCUUAACUGUGGGCGUGCAGUCGAUACGGGCAGACUUGAGUUCGGUAGGGGAGACUGGAAUUCCUGGUGUAGCGGUGGAAUGCGCAGAUAUCAGGAGGAACACCGGUGGCGAAGGCGGGUCUCUGGGCCGAUACUGACGCUGAGGAGCGAAAGCGUGGGGAGCGAACAGGAUUAGAUACCCUGGUAGUCCACGCCGUAAACGGUGGGCGCUAGGUGUGGGGGAUUUCCACGUCCUCCGUGCCGUAGCUAACGCAUUAAGCGCCCCGCCUGGGGAGUACGGCCGCAGGCUAAACUCAAAGGAAUUGACGGGGGCCCGCACAAGCGGCGGAGCAUGUGGAUUAAUUCGAUGCAACGCGAAGAACCUUACCUGGGUUUGACAUGCACUGGAUCGCCUCAGAGAUGGGGUUUCCGUAAGGUCAGUUGUGCAGGUGGUGCAUGGCUGUCGUCAGCUCGUGUCGUGAGAUGUUGGGUUUAAGUCCGCAACGAGCGGCAACCUUUGUUCCAUGUUGCAGGCACGUUAUUGGUGGGGGACUCAUGGGAGACUGCGGUGUCACCUGGAAGUACGU